CUGUAAAUGGGAAUUUUUGGGGAGUUUUGCAAAAGCUGCAGACAACAUGUGAAGGCCGGCAGACGACACAGAAAAAUUCAGAAGCUCAGAAAUGCUUAACCGAAAUUUUACAAUAAGCAGGAUGCCCAUUUUCAGUCUACCUGUACUGGAUAUGCCCUUCAGGCAAAGGUUCAUGUUCUGUAAUGUCAUCAAGGUGAUUGUGAAGCACUCAUCCAUUGAUCGGGGCUCCCUCUUUAGGCCUCUUGGACCUUCAGGGACUAUGCCUGGUAGCACUGGAAGUUAGAAGAAAGAAAAUCGAACUGGGUAUUGGCCCUAGGGUCUGGCUCUGCCCCAACCUAUAUAUGGAACUUUGGGGGAACGCAGUUACCCUCAGUUCCACCUGGAUGUGCCCUGCCAGCAUUUGCAUAGGUGAGGAAACUGAGGCCCACAGAAGGAAAGAUGCCUGUUGAGGAGAUGUGUUGUGCUUACUUCUUGCACUCCAGUUGGAUGGAUUUUCUCUUUGCUUCCUCGAACACCUCUGUUCCUGUCUCCAGACUGCCUCCCAUGCUGUUUCUUUGGCAAGGCUGGUCUUUUCAUAAACGGUUGAGAGUCAUUUCUCAAGCCUCUUUCCCUGAACAGUCUUUCUCUACUGUGGUAAAGGGCAUUCUAGACACCCUCCUUCCCUCGCGCACAGUUCUUUUGCAUUCCUUGGCAAGUGGAGGCCAGAGCAAUCAAAUCAACAAAGCAGUUUUUGCAGUGGGAUCCCAACAUAGAUGCUUACUUAUGAAGUUUUCACUGUGGGGCAGCUACAUCUCUGACGUACCUUGCACUUGAUACCUGACAUACCAAAAGGGAUAAUAUAUGUGAAAGGACUUAGAGAAUGCUGAAGUGCUUUAGGAAACGAGAUGUUUUGUUAUAUUCUCUAAAGAUCUCAAAGGGAAAUUCUAUUUCUUUACUCAGCUAAGGGCACUUCUAAGUGGCUAGGGCCAGAUUAUUAAAAAAAAAAACCCUGCAAAAAAUGUGAACAGGUUGCUCUUAUGCCUAAAGCGGAUUCUGUUGCUUUUAGUGCCGUGCUUUGUGGGUGGUCAGGGCAGUGCACUUGCACUUUGCAAAUUUCUAGUGUGUUCCGAAGUGAACUUGAACUUAGGACCCAGCAUUCUUCCCUAGGAAGGAAAGGGGGUGAACUAAACAGUGUGCUCCUGGCUAAGCCUUCAGCAGAUUUUCAUUUGUCUCAUAGCUGUAGUUUUGGUAGUUAAACCAGAAUAGUAGCCCUGUUAACAAAGAAUUAAGCAAAUGCAUAUGGAUUUCUUCAGCAGCCUCCUUUGCUCUGCUAGAAUGCCUGGCAGUCAGAAAUAAAAACCAUAUUG